UUUCCCAGAUAUUCUAUUGCUGAAUGUGCUUCAAGAAUUGCCCUUGGAACAUUCUUCCACAAGUCUUCCUACUGCCAAUGAUUCUUGUCAUAUCCCUCCAGUCAAUGACUCUAGCACCAUUCACAACUUAGAUCAAUCCCUUUCAUCUAUUCCUAGAAAAGGUAUGAGAACACGUAGGGCCCCUUCUUACCUUCGUAAUUUUCAUUGCAAUCUUCUGACCAAAACUUCUCCUCUUCCCAACACUUCCUUAUAUCCUUUAUCCAAAUACUUAUCUUACAAAACAUUUUCCCCCUCACACAACUCCCUUCUCUUCAAUAUAUCUUCCACAUUUGAGCCCCAAUUUUAUCAUCAGGCAGUGAAGUGUGAACAAUGGAGGAAUGCCAUGGCUGAUGAAUUGGCAGCCAUGGAAGCAAACCAUACUUGGUCAAUUACCACUUUGCCUAAGGACAAGCAUUCCAUAGGGUCUCAGUGGGUUUAUAAGAUCAAAUUCAACUCAGAUGGGAGUAUAGACCGGUACAAAGCCCGGUUGGUUGCGAAAG
rnacentral:lncRNA from 1 species